rnacentral:rRNA from 1 species
UGGGGAAUUUUCCGCAAUGGGCGAAAGCCUGACGGAGCAAGACCGCGUGAGGGAAGAAGGCUCUUGGGUCGUAAACCUCUUUUGUCAGGGAAGAACACAAUGACGGUACCUGACGAAUCAGCCUCGGCUAACUCCGUGCCAGCAGCCGCGGUAAUACGGAGGAGGCAAGCGUUAUCCGGAAUUAUUGGGCGUAAAGCGUCCGUAGGUGGCAUGUCAAGUCUGCGGUCAAAGACUGGGGCUUAACCCUGGAAAGGCCGUGGAAACUGACGAGCUAGAGUGCAGUAGGGGUAGAGGGAAUUCCCGGUGUAGCGGUGAAAUGCGUAGAGCUCGGGAAGAACAUCGGUGGCGAAAGCGCUCUACUGGACUGCAACUGACACUCAGGGACGAAAGCUAGGGGAGCGAAUGGGAUUAGAUACCCCAGUAGUCCUAGCCGUAAACGAUGGAUACUAGGUGUGGCUUGUAUCGACCCGAGCCGUGCCGAAGCUAACGCGUUAAGUAUCCCGCCUGGGGAGUACGCACGCAAGUGUA